rnacentral:rRNA from 1 species
AGCGAACGCUGGCGGCAGGCCUAACACAUGCAAGUCGAACGAACCCUUCGGGGUUAGUGGCGGACGGGUGAGUAACACGUGGGAACGUGCCUUUAGGUUCGGAAUAACUCAGGGAAACUUGUGCUAAUACCGAAUGUGCCCUUCGGGGGAAAGAUUUUUCGCCUUUAGAGCGGCCCGCGUCUGAUUAGCUAGUUGGGGAGGUAAAGGCUCACCAAGGCGACGAUCAGUAGCUGGUCUGAGAGGAUGAUCAGCCACAUUGGGAAUGAGACACGGCCCAAACUCCUACGGGAGGCAGCAGUGGGGAAGCUUGCGCAAUGGGCGAAAGCUUGACGCAGCCAUGCCGCGUGAAUGAUGAAGGUCUUAGGAUUGUAAAAUUCUUUCACCGGGGACGAUAAUGACGGUACCCGGAGAAGAAGCCCCGGCUAACUUCGUGCCAGCAGCCGCCGUAAAAC